GACGAACGCUGGCGGCGUGCUUAACACAUGCAAGUCGAACGAUGAAGCUGGAGCUUGCUCCGGUGGAUUAGUGGCGAACGGGUGAGUAACACGUGAGCAAUCUGCCCUUGACUCUGGGAUAACUGCGGGAAACUGUAGCUAAUACCGGAUACUUUCACUGGAAGGCAUCUUCUGGUGAAGAAAGAAUCUCGGUCAAGGAUGAGCUCGCGGCCUAUCAGCUUGUUGGUGAGGUAACGGCUCACCAAGGCGACGACGGGUAGCCGGCCUGGGAGGGUGAACGGCCACACUGGGCAUGAGACACGGCCCAGACUCCUACGGGAGGCAGCAGUGGGGAAUAUUGCUCAAUGGGCGCAAGCCUGAUGCAGCAACGCCGCGUGAGGGAUGAAGGCCUUCGGGUUGUAAACCUCUUUUAGUAGGGAAGAAGCGAAAGUGACGGUACCUGCAGAAAAAGCACCGGCUAACUACGUGCCAGCAGCCGCGGUAA
rnacentral:rRNA from 1 species